CUCCAGACUCCUACGGGAGGCAGCAGUCGGGAAUAUUGCACAAUGGAGGAAACUCUGAUGCAGUGACGCCGCGUGCAGGAAGAAGGUUUUAGGAUUGUAAACUGCUUUAGACAGGGAAGAAAAAAGACAGUACCUGUAGAAUAAGCUCCGGCUAACUACGUGCCAGCAGCCGCGGUAAUACGUAGGGGGCAAGCGUUAUCCGGAUUUACUGGGUGUAAAGGGAGCGUAGACGGCUUGGCAAGCCAGAUGUGAAAGGCUGGGGCUCAACCCCAGGACUGCAUUUGGAACUGUCAUGCUAGAGUGCAGGAGAGGUAAGUGGAAUUCCUAGUGUAGCGGUGAAAUGCGUAGAUAUUAGGAGGAACACCAGUGGCGAAGGCGGCUUACUGGACUGUAACUGACGUUGAGGCUCGAAAGCGUGGGGAGCAAACAGGAUUAGAUACCCCAGUAA
rnacentral:rRNA from 1 species